CUCAAACAAGUGCUUAAUUAAGUAUCAUGCAUGUACACUUCACCAUUUAUAAUGAUCAAUUUGUAAAACGGAUCACAUGGUGGUGAGCUCCCCAACCCCGUGUACGUCCGAGGUGAAUUGGGUGAUCUUUUAAAAUCAUUUUCCUGAAUGUCAUGUUUUAUCUUUUAAGAGGUGAAAAAUUUGUUGGUGUUCUAGGCAUUCUCAGCCAGAGGAAAAUUCAAGAUCUCCAUCGGACGAGCUUUGGAGACGAGCAUCCGCUGCUGGUGCUUUCACCCCUAUGGAGAAAAGAGCUUUUGGAAUAGCAGAUGACAUAUAUGAAGCUGGUCUUCUUUUUGCAUACCUAGCUUUCAUUCCGUUCUGUGAAGCAGGAGUCAUGGACAGUCUUUCGCUGAGAAGGCUUCUGGAGAACACAUUCCAGCUUGAUCUUGAUGCCAUGAGAGAGUAAGUUGCAUUACAUUUUAUUAUUUAGACUAGUAAUUAUCGGAAAGAUAUAUGGGAAGACUAGAAUGCAUAGAGAAGGAACUUGAAUGAAAGUGCAGACAAUCAUCACACUCUGCAUGAUUAUUGUUCUUUUCACCAUUGUUUUCACAGACUAUGUUACAAAAUUAUAUUGAGAUGCAAGAUAAAGUACAAACCUCCACUAGUACAAAUUUAGGCCUGGUUGCAGGCAAACGUGCCACACAAUUGUAUUGCUGGAGCUCUUCUAAUUUUGGGCUGAGCUUCUCUGUACAACUUCCUGCCCCAACAGUCUUACGCGGCUUUAUGAAUGCACUGAACCCUUAGGAAUUUCAUUAUCUGUGUCAAUCCCGAUUUGAGGG